rnacentral:rRNA from 1 species
CAUGCUGUAAACGAUGAGUGCUAAGUGUUGGGAGGUUUCCGCCUCUCAGUGCUGCAGCUAACGCAUUAAGCACUCCGCCUGGGGAGUACGACCGCAAGGUUGAAACUCAAAGGAAUUGACGGGGGCCCGCACAAGCGGUGGAGCAUGUGGUUUAAUUCGAAGCAACGCGAAGAACCUUACCAGGUCUUGACAUCUAGUGCAAUCCUAAGAGAUUAGGAGUUCCCUUCGGGGACGCUAAGACAGGUGG